UCUUUGUCUUCACUUUCUGGCACACGGCCCUUCCUCUCGUAAUCCACCGUUCAUCAUUCCAUCAUCGUCAACUAUACACACGUUCCCAACAAAACACAAUAAUUCCAGAACACGAGGUUUUCGGCAUUUGUGAUCUCACUGAUCUGUUUUGUCGUUUCUUUGGGGGCAUUUCAACGAGGCUAUAGAGUUCAGGUCUUUGUCGGGCACUCGCCGAAAGUGUAGAGGACGAAGCAAUGAGUUUCAGAGAAGAAUCCGAGCCCGAGGACCUCAGGAAGCCAUUCCUCCAAACAGGGAGCUGGUACAGAAUGGGGUCGAGGCAGUCCAGCAUCAUGGGCUCCUCGGCCCAGAUCAUUCGCGACGGUUCCAUCUCCGUCAUGCUCUGCGUCCUCAUCGUUGCCCUCGGCCCCAUCCAAUUCGGCUUCACCUGUGGGUAUUCUUCCCCAACGCAAGCUGAAAUAAUCGAGGACCUGGGACUUUCAGUCUCGGAGUACUCUAUAUUUGGUUCUUUAGCAAAUGUCGGUGCCAUGGUUGGGGCAAUUGCUAGUGGUCAAAUCGCAGAAUACAUUGGGCGUAAAGGGUCACUUAUGAUUGCUGCGAUUCCUAAUAUAAUUGGAUGGCUUGCAAUAUCAUUUGCCAGAGAUGCCUCGUUUUUGUACAUGGGAAGGUUGUUGGAAGGAUUUGGUGUCGGGAUUAUAUCUUACACGGUACCGGUAUAUAUAGCUGAGAUUGCACCUCAAAAUAUGAGGGGAUCCCUUGGGUCUGUUAAUCAGCUCUCAGUGACAAUUGGACUAAUGCUGUCUUAUCUUUUUGGACUGUUUGUCAACUGGAGAGUGCUUGCAAUUUUAGGAAUUUUGCCAUGUACAAUAUUGAUACCUGGCUUGUUUUUCGUGCCAGAAUCUCCCCGAUGGUUGGCCAAAAUGGGGAUGACAGAAGAUUUUGAAACCUCAUUGCAAGUUUUACGAGGUUUUGAUACCGACAUUUCAGUUGAAGUGAACGAAAUCAAGAGAUCUGUAGCAUCAACAGGCAAAAGAGCUACGAUCCGGUUUGCAGAUCUCAAGAGAAAGAGAUACUGGUUUCCUCUAACGAUAGGAAUCGGAUUACUUGUGCUCCAGCAACUCAGUGGUAUCAAUGGUGUUUUAUUCUAUUCAAGUAACAUCUUUGAAAAAGCCGGGAUCUCGGCGAGUAAUGUUGCAACUUUUGGAGUUGGAGUUAUUCAGGUUAUGGCUACUGGGGUUACUACUUGGUUAGUGGACAGAGCUGGCCGCAGGCUUCUGCUUAUUGUGUCAUCGUCUGGAAUGACCCUUAGCCUCCUCGUCGUUGCAAUUGCAUUUUAUCUGGAGGAUGUUGUACCAGAAGAUUCUAAAUUCUAUAGCAUGUUUGCUAUACUGUCACUCGUUGGCCUUGUGGCUUUUGUGAUAUCAUUCUCUCUGGGACUUGGACCUAUUCCUUGGCUGAUAAUGUCUGAGAUACUUCCUGUGAAUAUCAAAGGCCUUGCUGGCAGCAUAGCAACGUUGGGAAAUUGGCUGACAUCAUUUGUGAUUACAAUGACUGCAAACUUACUGUUGAGUUGGAACAGUGGAGCUACCUUCACAAUUUAUACCGUGGUUGCUGCUUUUACUGUUAUCUUUGUGUCACUUUGGGUUCCAGAAACUAAAGGCAGAGCUCUGGAAGAGAUUCAGCAGUCAUUUAGAUGAAUUUACUUCGUCAUGCAUAUAUUCAUCGUAAUCUGGCUUUGAAGUGAAUAUAACGCCGGAGUCCUUGCAAGUAGGUUGGGUUGCAUGGAUAUUCCUUAUUUUAUUCUUUUGGAAAACUGCAAGAAUUUGAGUUGCUCGGAUGCCUCCCUAGCAGCUCCAUAACCUCCCUGUGUAUAACUUAGGCGAUAUUAUGAGCCCAUAAUGCCAGACAGAAUCAUUUCUGGGGAUUCUCUCUUGUUUUGUCUGCAUGGAAGGAAGCAAGGAACCGAUUCAGAUACCUAUUGUAAACACAAGGUCUCUCCAGGUGAACCAAGUGACCUGCCUUCUUUAUGACCUGAAAUGAUGCAUUUUCUCCCAGUUGCCUGUGAUCACAUUGUCCAAAGGACGUUAAAAUUACUUCUUUUAACAUAUGUACUACUAAACUUCUGUAUUGUUAAGAAAUCAUAUAAAUAAUUAAGUCUACUUUAAAAAAUCAUAUAAAUACUUAAAUUUACAUUUCUUUU